CAUGCAGUCGAACGGCAGCACGGGGGCAACCCUGGUGGCGAGUGGCGAACGGGUGAGUAAUACAUCGGAACGUGUCCUGUAGUGGGGGAUAGCCCGGCGAAAGCCGGAUUAAUACCGCAUACGCUCUACGGAGGAAAGGGGGGGAUCUUAGGACCUCUCGCUACAGGGGCGGCCGAUGGCAGAUUAGCUAGUUGGUGGGGUAAAGGCCUACCAAGGCGACGAUCUGUAGCUGGUCUGAGAGGACGACCAGCCACACUGGGACUGAGACACGGCCCAGACUCCUACGGGAGGCAGCAGUGGGGAAUUUUGGACAAUGGGCGCAAGCCUGAUCCAGCAAUGCCGCGUGUGUGAAGAAGGCCUUCGGGUUGUAAAGCACUUUUGUCCGGAAAGAAAACGUCGUGGUUAAUACCCGUGGCGGAUGACGGUACCGGAAGAAUAAGCACCGGCUAACUACGUGCCAGCAGCCGCGGUAAUACGUAGGGUGCAAGCGUUAAUCGGAAUUACUGGGCGUAAAGCGUGCGCAGGCGGUCCGCUAAGACAGAUGUGAAAUCCCCGGGCUUAACCUGGGAACUGCAUUUGUGACUGGCGGGCUAGAGUAUGGCAGAGGGGGGUAGAAUUCCACGUGUAGCAGUGAAAUGCGUAGAGAUGUGGAGGAAUACCGAUGGCGAAGGCAGCCCCCUGGGCCAAUACUGACGCUCAUGCACGAAAGCGUGGGGAGCAAACAGGAUUAGAUACCCUGGUAGUCCACGCCCUAAACGAUGUCAACUAGUUGUCGGGUCUUCAUUGACUUGGUAACGUAGCUAACGCGUGAAGUUGACCGCCUGGGGAGUACGGUCGCAAGAUUAAAACUCAAAGGAAUUGACGGGGACCCGCACAAGCGGUGGAUGAUGUGGAUUAAUUCGAUGCAACGCGAAAAACCUUACCUACCCUUGACAUGUAUGGAAUCCUGCUGAGAGGUGGGAGUGCCCGAAAGGGAGCCAUAACACAGGU
rnacentral:rRNA from 1 species